rnacentral:rRNA from 1 species
GUACGCAAGUUUUUUGCUUUGUAUGCAUCAUUUCUGAAUCUGACCCCAGGUCCAAUCACAGAAACUAAGCAGGGUCAGGUCUGACUAGUACCUGGAUGGGAGACCACAUGGGACUACCGGGUACUGUGAGCU